GGGGCUGUGGCGCAGUUGGAAGCGCGUCUGAAUGGCAUUCAGAAGGUCGGGGGUUCGAGCCCCCCCAGCUCCA
rnacentral:tRNA from 2 species